GGGGGCUGUGGCUCAGUGGCAGAGCGUCUGCUUCGCAUGCAGACGGUCCCAGGUUCAAUCCCCGGCAUCUCCA